rnacentral:rRNA from 1 species
ACUCAAAUGAAUAGACGGGAACCCGCACAAGCGGUGGAGCAUGUGGUUCAAUUCGACGAUAAGCGAGGAACCUUACCAGGGUUUGACAUGUUAGGAAUUCAGGCGAAAGCUUGAAGUGCCCGCAAGGGAACCUAAACACAGGUGUUGCAUGGCUGUCGUCAGCUCGUGUCGUGAGACGUAGGGUUAAGUCCUUUAACGAGCGCAACCCCUAUUUUGUGUUAAAUGUUCACAAGAGACUGCCUGGGUAACCAGGAGGAAGGUGGGGAUGACGUCAAGUCCGCAUGGCCCUUACACCCUGGGCGACACACGUGCUACAAUGGAGCCGACAACGGGACGCCAAGUCGUAAGACGGAGCAAAUCCCUUAAACGGCCCCUCAGUUCGGAUUGAGGUCUGCAACUCGACCUCAUGAAGCUGGAAUCGCUAGUAACCGCGGAUCAGCCUCGCCGCGGUGAAUACGUUCUCGGGUUUUGUACACACCGCCCGU